CAUGCCAUCUCCAUUCCUUUCAACAGUCCCCAAAGUUCAGCUUCAAGGACUUGUCCAAUGCCUAACUUGGCAGAGAAACCAUUCAACCAUUCACCUCUAUCAUUCCGAAGGACUCCUCUAGCACAAAUAAUCCCAGUAUUUUUAUGCAAGCUGCCAUCAACAUUAAGUUUAAACCAAUCCUUAGGCGGAAAGUGCCAACAAAGCUCCACUACUCGUCGUGGAGGUUUUGAGUGGUCAACCUUAUUUGCCUCAAAAUAAUCUCUAGUAAACUGGUGAAUAAUUAAGGAAGGCCAACUUGGGAAUUUCAAGUUCUGAUCCAAAAUAAAGCUACACCUCCAUUUCCAUAUAUGCCAAAGCCCCAUAGCAAAAUAGCAACACCAAGGAAUUUCAUAUUGCAUUUUCACAGAAGACUUUAAAUUCACAAGCAACCAGUCAUUGAAAGGAAGAGUGUAUGUGGAAGGGAACUCACUUGGGGAAUGAAGAGCAGACCAAAUCCGCAUUGAAAUAGUGCAAUCUUUGAAGAGAUGGUCCAAGGAUUCAAGAGGGAAGUUGCAUCUUGGACAAUGAGCAUCUAUAGCCAAUCUUUGAAGAGAUGGUCCAAGGAUUCAAGAGGGAAGUUUCAUCUGAUUCUUGUUAAGUGGAGUAGAUGGCGUCGGAUUUGAUUGUAGUCCUUGUUUGUAAUGGCGUAGAUGGUUGGUUUGCUCGUAAAUUCAAUCAAAUUACAAGAAUUUCUGUAGUUUAUUUAUACUGAUAUUGUUUACACAUGUACUGGUCGCAUCGAUCACCUAUGUAUUGUGCAAAACGACCAUCACAGAAUAAGAUCAACAGAUAUUUGUUGAGUCAUCUACUAUAUAUUAUUCUCACUUAACUGAUCCCCAACUUUUGUAGCACCAGGUUAUAUCUUUCGCAGAGAUACAGAAUUAGAGAUAGAGAUAGAGAUAGGUGUUUUUUCAGUUGUUUGCUGCAUCUGCUCUUCUCAUUCUCUCUGUGGUAGAAAUUUUGAUUUAUUGGGUUGGGGUUUUUGACAAUUUGUGACUUUUUUAAUGUUUUGUUGGCAUGCUUUUCCGAUUUCGUUUUUUUAUUUUUGGCUAUUUUGGGAUUUGUAGGAUUUGGUUUGGCUAAUGGCUGCCAUUGUUUUGAGUCAACUAUGAGUUAUUGGCUGUGGUUGCAUGCGCUGAAAGGUAAAGACUUGGUUUGUUCAUCUUCAUUUGUUUUCUGCAUGUUUCAGUUCGAAAAAGCUUUCUUCUUUUUUUUUUGGUCUGAAAAAAAUUGCGAUAUUACAAUUCUAAUUGAUAUUUUCCUUCUUUUUAUCUGAUAAAUGGUGGAAGUCGUGGAACAACUUCAAGUAUGCAUGAUAUGGUCUUUGAGUUAAUAUAUGCAGAGUCAGGCAUUGGUCUCUCCUGCUUCAACAUGCUUAUAUUUCUUUUGUUUUACAUGCAGAGAAGUAGCUGUCUGUCAGAAAAAUUUGUAUUGGUGUAUAGUCAUAUUGCGACCUCUGAUGCUAUUAACAUUGGUGAGCAAAUCUCCACAGAAAAGUUUGCUGCUUUCCUUUCUAUGUAUAUCAACUUGCUGUUCACUUUUAUUAUACAUGGCCUUCACCAUCAUGGUAGAUAAGACUUGAUAUAAUUCAACUAGAUUAUAAUUCCAAACUCUAUGGUGUCUAAGUGACAAGACCAGAAAGCAUAUACUUUAUGCAUACAUACAUGUAUGUUUAUCUUAUACUUUAUGCAUACGUCCUAGAUUGUACUUCAACUGUUAGUGUUAUUGGCUUUCAGUAGCUGUUGCUUAUGUUCUAUUCUCAAAACUUAUGCUUAUGAGAGAUUCAAAGAGAUUAUACACUAAAUAUUGAUUCCACUGUCAGAUUUUUUAAGAUAUCUGCGAGAAUAUCCACUGUCAGAUUUCAACAUCUGUAUCCUUUUUACUUCCAUGCUCAUAGUUCAUAUCUCUUUACUUAUAAAAAUGAAUUAUUUCAAGCAGAUUGCUCAAUUUUGGACUUUAC
rnacentral:lncRNA from 1 species